UACCCGCUGAACUUAAGCAUAUCAAUAAGCGGAGGAAAAGAAACUAACAAGGAUUCCCCUAGUAACUGCGAGUGAAGCGGGAAAAGCUCAAAUUUAAAAUCUGGUGGUCAUUGGCCAUCCGAGUUGUAAUUUAGAGAAGCGUCUUCCGCGCUGGACCGUGCACAAGUCUCCUGGAAUGGAGCGUCGUAGAGGGUGAGAAUCCCGUCUUUGGCACGGACAUGCCAGUGCUUUUGUGAUGUGCUCUCGAAGAGUCGAGUUGUUUGGGAAUGCAGCUCAAAAUGGGUGGUGAACUCCAUCUAAAGCUAAAUAUUGGCGAGAGACCGAUAGCGAACAAGUACCGUGAGGGAAAGAUGAAAAGCACUUUGGAAAGAGAGUGAAACAGUACGUGAAAUUGUUGAAAGGGAAACGCUUGAAGUCAGUCGCGUCGACCGAGACUCAGCCUUGCCUUGGCUUGGUGUAUUUCUUGGCUUGACGGGCCAGCAUCAAUUUUGCCCCUUGGAUAAUGGCGAGGGAAAUGUGACACCUUUAUGGUGUGUUAUAGUCUUUCGUCGCAUGCAAGGGUCGGGAUUGAGGAACUCAGCACGCGCCUUUAGGUGUCGGGGUUUUGCCCACGAUACGUGCUUAGGAUGUUGGCAUAAUGGCUUUAAACGACCCGUCUUGAAACACGGACCAAGGAGUCUAACAUGCCCGCGAGUGUUCGGGUGGAAAACCCGUGCGCGUAAUGAAAGUGAAAGUUGGGACCUUCGUCGUGAGGGCACCGACGCCCGAACCAGACCUUCUGUGACGGCUCUGCGGUAGAGCGUGUAUGUUAGACCCGAAAGAUGGUGAACUAUGCUGAUAGGUGAAGCAGAGAAACUCUGGUGGAGCUCGUAGCGAUCUGACGUGCAAUCGAUCGUCAAUUUGGGUAUAGGGCGAAAGACUAAUCGACAUCUAGUAGCUGUUUCCUGCCGAGGUUCCCUCAGGAA
rnacentral:rRNA from 1 species